UACGUAGGUGGCAAGCGUUGUCCGGAUUUACUGGGCGUAAAGAGCGCGCAGGCGGUCGUUCAAGUCGCGUGUGAAAGCCCCCGGCUCAACUGGGGAGGGUCACGCGAUACUGCUCGACUCGAAGGCAGGAGAGGGAAGUGGAAUUCCCGGUGUAGAGGUGAAAUUCGUAGAUAUCGGGAGGAACACCAGUGGCGAAGGCGGCGACCUGGGUAGAUACUGACGCUGAGGUGCGAAAGCGUGGGGAGCAAACAGG
rnacentral:rRNA from 1 species